rnacentral:tRNA from 5 species
GCCAAGAUAGCUCAGUUGGUAGAGCAUCGCACUGAAAAUGCGAGGGUCGCCGGUUCGAGUCCGGCUCUUGGCACCA